GGUUCUAUUUAUCAGACCUGAAAUCAGGCGAGGUUACCCGCUGA
rnacentral:rRNA from 1 species